AAAAAUUAGUUUUUUGUCAUUUCUAUUAGAGAAUUUUCAUUUAUUUCUCAAAAUAAUUACUAAAAACAAAACGAAUUGGUAGCUAACAUAGUCGUGGAAAAUCUUAAAAUAAUUUUAUUUAUUUUUUAGAUUAAAUUUUAUUCGUUUGUGUUAAGAGAUAAUAAAGAAAAUGACCAUUUUUAAGCAAAAUUAAAAUUAAAUUUUAAUCGUGACGUAGACACAUUCACAAUGCCGGUUUUUUUUUGUCAUAGACCAGCAUAAAAGAAAAAUUUAAAGUUUCAUUCGUCAUUUGAGGCCACCAAGACACACCACUCGUUCCGGUCCUACUAGUGCCGAAAAAUGUAAUUCACAGAACAGGCGCCCAUAAUGAGCCAGUACCAAUUUUUUUUGUUUUUCUGUAGAUUUGCUAUUGAUUAAAAAUGUAUGUGAAAAUGAACCGUUUCUUAAAUAUCGCUCCUCAAAAUCUAGGCCUUCAAAUAACAAAAAUCUUCGAAUUGUCAACGUUUCCAAUUUUUCUUGGAAUUUUAACAGAACAAAAAAAAUUGUCAUCGUGAAUCUGUCUACGGAUGUGAAAAUAAGAAGCUAAUCAGUUAAGUUAGAUUAAAAUAGUUACGCAAUCUUAGAUCUGAGCAUUUUAAAACAGAAUUAUUUUAAAGAAAAAUCAUUUUUAAUGUUAAAUUAACAAAAUCAAAGUAAAGAAGAAGCAGAACAGAAAUUAUAUAUUUUAAAUGCUAAAAAAAAAACUUAACUCUAUAUAUACCCCUUGCAUACAUACUCAAACUGAAAAUGAAUUGGAAAGUAUUUUUGUAGUAAUUCAGGAAACGAAGACAGAAAAAGAAAACAAUUUAUUUGAAAUCAAUAAAACUGACUAAAUGUAACUAUACGUUAAUUGUAAAUAAAGAAAAUCAUAAAGUAAAA